AUACAAGGUCAUAAAAGUGAUAAAAUGAGCUAUAGUAUGUAUACAAAGUGUAUGNUACAAGAGCUGAAUAUAUCCUAUCUCCAAAGUGUUUGAAUUUGUGGUGGAAAAGGUGGAGUAUGCUGCUGAAAACUGCACAAGAAUGCAGCUUGGAGAACAACCUUUGUGUCCAAUUCUACAAACUCUCCACUCCCUAAGAUGCUACCCUCUUGGAUGAAGCUUGUGGAACUUGGAUCACCUCAAAAUGAAGUCAUACACCUCUGUCAAACACAGAAACUGUGAGACAAAUAGGACAGCUGCUGCACCAGAAUUCAAGAAGCCAAAAACAUGAUUGCUAGCAUAGUAAGGAAGCCAAAAAUGAUGAAUUCAAGUGAUAUACAGCUGGAAUAAAAGGUAGCACACAAAAGGAGCCUAGGAAAGGAACUAGAACAGAUUAUAAAAGCAAGAAAAACUCAAAAGAAUGAGGAAAAUUCUGUGCAGUGAAACUGUUUGAUGAACUUUCCAAACUGUUUGUCAAAAUGCCACAAUGAACUGCAAACUUUGUGUUUUCUGGUUUUUUNUUUUNUUUNAUUUCUGAAAACUNGAUUGCAGGGAUUUAAUUGCUUUUUAUGCCUGUUUUAGACUUGAUUGAACAUGGAAAAUGAUUUAGGAGUGAAAUCCCAACUUUUGCCAAUCCAAAUACAACUUGAAAACUGAAAUGGUGGAUAGCAGCGUAGUAUGGCAAUUGCAACAGUAAAAGUGGCUGAAAUAUAGUGUUUUCAGGGCCAAAAGUAAGUGUUCAUGUUUGACCAGUGUAAAUGACCCUUCAAGCAACUUUCUAUCAUCAAUUGGGAUAUGUUCAAACCAGUGAAACAGCUAAGACACUGACAGAUGAAAAUUCCACUGAUUCACUUCCCAAAAUGCAAUAAAAUGUGGUGUUUUGGCUGUAUUUUUCAGCUGGAAUAAAAUAUGACCAUAUGAACAGUAAGUUCAGAUUUUAAAUCACCAAAUGGAUGUGCUAAAACAUUGAUACUGCACAGAAACAGGUUGAUGCAUCAAUGGAUAGAGACAGUUUUCAAUUAUGCAGAAUUAAAGGCACCUAAACUGCAUAAAGAGAAAAAAAAUAUGGUCUUAAAAUUGGAACUACAGUGGGUGAAUUCAGUGGCAGUGGUUAAAAGGAUCAAAUGACACCUCAAGCAAGUUUAUAUCAUCAUAAUGGAUGUGUGCAAGCACUCAAACCGCAAAGAAAACUGCCAUAGCAAAAUAUGACAUGUCCAUUUCCUCAAUUGGAGCAAAGCUACGGGUUUAAGAUGUGAUUUGGUGAAAUGGUGCAAAAGUGACCAAAUGAACAUUAACAAGCAACUUUGAUGCACCAAUUAUAGGUGUGGAAACAAUCAAACUGUGCCAAAAUCCACUGAAUCACAAUUUGACUAGUUGAGUUCCAAUUUUCAAGCAAAAAUGGGAAGUCGAACUAUGAUUUUGUAGAUGUAAUGAAAAUGGACCAAGGCAACAGCUGAAACAAGUUUCAAAUGAUGGAAUACACUUGCACCAACAGUUACAAUGCACAAAAAUUCAAUGAAACUCGAAAUCACUAUAAGAAUUGCUAAUUAUGCAGCAAAAUAUACAAGACAGCAGCAGAAAUGAUCAAUAAAGUGGAUUCAAAGCUGGCUAGAUCAAUAGACGUGUAAGAAAGGCCNUAGGUAACUAGAUCUANCUAGAAUAUAGCAGCUAGCAGAUUUAAAUGGACCUAAGACCAAUCAAGGAACACUACAGCACGGUGCAAGCUGCCAAAACAGUGACAGUAAAAAAAAUACAAUGCAGAAUCAGACUUGAACACAACUGAACCACUCAAAUUCGGAUUAUGCACUUAUCGAGGGUUAUAAGCAUUUGAAAACUGAUCAAACACAUAAAACAAGCUUAUUCACAGGUGCAGAAUCAAAAAAUUUGAACCGAUAUAGGUUGCACCAGAUUAAAUCCGAAUUGGACGGUGAUGCAGUCUUUGAAAACAAAAUAUUUGAUGAUUCAAGCACUCAUUUUGAAUUUCCUUGAUGAAUACAAGUUGCAAUCAAUUUAAACACAGUCGCUAUCACCAGAAUAUCAUACUUGAAGCUUACAAUACCAAAUCAAAAUGAAAACUAAGAUUCAAAGAGCAAAACCGAGAGACGCAAUUUGCUGCAGAAUUUGGAUGCGAAAACAGUAAGCAAUGGAACAGAGUAAUGUAAGCUUCAAUGAUCAAGCACAAUCAACAUAUAGCUUGCUAUUGCUUAACCAAAAUCAACAACGAAAAGAAAAAAUUUCACGGUUGAACAGAAUAACACGUAUGGACAACAUAAAACAGCAAAGGUGUUUGCACAUGACUAUGACAUAAACUGAAAAUUGAAGAUGUAAGCUGAAUUAACCGAAAUUGAUUGACGAAGAUGCACCGUUUAAAAUGAAGAAAAAACACCUAUGGAACAGUGAAUGAAUCAAAAUAUCCACAGAAAAAAUACGAAAUCAAAACGAAACAGUGACGAAAAAAAAUUCAAGCAUAGACAGAAAGGAACAGUACAUGACAGGAAAACAGAGGAAUUGAGACGAGACACUUAGCUCUUGAAGCGUGACUGGAACGGUUGGCUCUUGAUGCCAAAUGAUGG
rnacentral:lncRNA from 1 species